ensembl:lncRNA
GCCGAGUCGACCUUCAACCCGCCCAAAUCUGCCUAAUGAGAGCAACAGACCAACUGGACACAAGCAAAACAUUUCCUGGGGUGUGAUUGUGAAGGGAGAGCCUUAUUGGAGCCCUUUGAAGCGGAGGGAGAGUGGACGGUGAGAGCCGGCUGCUUGGGCUUUUUAGGGUCGUCUGUGCGGGCGAGGCUAUUUCGAGUCACAAUAGUCGGAGGAAACGUGCUUAUAAAUGUUUCAAGAAGGGUGCAGCAUCUUAGGACGCGAGACAGAGAGCGGUGCAGAGCAGUGGCGUGCUGUCCUCUGCUGCAUUACGUUGUUUGUCAGGCCCAACGCGGAAAUCUGCAGCGACUUACAAAUGAUGCAUUCAACCAAGAGGCGACGAAGCCAGAACGACAAGGAAACCUCAUCAGACCCAAAGCAUCUCAACGUGUUCCUGUAUAUCAUUUAUUUUCCGCCCGAGACUUUGCAUGAGCUUGCGUGUCACCAUUUUUUAAGCACUUCGGCACUUGGCUAUGGGUGGUGUUGGCCGGGCUUCCUGUUUUUCUCCAGCUCCGCGUAAGCUUCACCUGCACCACAAACCUUAACCUCCCCGAGUUCUCACUUGUCGGACUCUUAUGAGUCCGAGCUCCUUCCUCUUCAUUGUGUCUGCUGGAGGUUUGGCUUAGUUUUCUUUCACGUUGUGUUUUGCAUUCUGACAGCUUGGUUCCUUUCUCACCUGCAGAUUACAGACCGAGUUGAAACAGACAGUAGACCAGAUGGACAGAUAGUCCAACACACAAAAAAAAGCUACCCUCUCUCGCCAGGUUUGGUGGAGUAAGAUGAGGAAGGCAGCAGAGGGACAGAGCAGCCGGUGGAGCAGACAGACGCUUCGGUCCGGCAUCCGCAGACCUCCUCGCGGCAGCACUCCCAUACGCAUACGCUAAUGCUGCAGCAGCAGCCUGUGGGCUGCCGUCCAGUGUUGUGUGCUGUGUGUGCGGUUCAGUUCAGAGGGGUUUUCAUGUGCAUGUCUGCUGCAUUUGUGUCAUGGGAAAAAUAUUUAUGAAAUCCCCUUGGCGUCCUUCGAGGUUAAAGAAAAGGCUGGAUCACAAAAACAGGGCAAAACACUACAGAGAGGACAACUAUGUCCUAAAGGCUUAGUGGUGAAUUUUAAGUUUAAGGAAUAUUUACCAUUGAAAAUAUUUUUACCUGGCAGGAUAAUUAUCCUGCUGUACUUUGAUAAUCCUAUAUACAAUUUGUGUAGCAAAACCUUUGUCUUUAUGUAUUGCUCUCAGCUUGAUGGUUUCUCAUUCUGGUAUCAGGAGUGAAAAGACGCCCUGGCCUUGUGUAAUUCGUUCCAUCAUCCAUCCAUUUGAUAACACAAAUAAAGAACGCGAGUAAAGGAAAUCAGUUGCACCGCAAAAAUACAGCCUGCGUUUGGUUUGGUCCCAACGUUGCUUUGCUUCACAUGUAAGCACUGUCCAAUUAUUCUCUAUUGACUUUAUAGAUGUUACUUUAAAAUAAAUGUCAUACUCACAGAAAUAUGGGAAUAUGCUUCUUGUUUUGUAUUAUAAAGUGUAUAUAUAUGUAUGUAUCCACCUAGCAGACAUCGAGGGGCCACGGCAUUCCUCGGACAAAAAAUAUCUGCAUCUAAAUGUUCAGCAGCUAAUUGAAGCUGGAGUUUACACUAUAACACUCUACUCUUGUAUUCUUAGGCUACUUGGUUCCUCGUACAUCUCCCAGUGAUUCCUCUUUCAUUUCCUUGAUGGUCUCGUUCAGGGACGUCUAUCCUUUUAGCAGCUGUACUGAACACGUGUCUCCAUCCAAUGGCACAAUGAAACAAUUACAUCGUGAGCCGAUCCUAUUACCUCGCUGCCGUCCCUUUAAAUAUGGUUUCAGUCACCUUGUUACUCACCUCACCAUCUUCACAGGACCAUCAGCUCCAUCACCUCAUGGUGGAGAUUUCUCACACUGCCGCUGGAGGCAGCAGCACCUUGAUUACAAAGCGCCAAAGACUCCGUGAAGACUUUAUCAUCACGUAUCAGCUGCCAAUUAGAAACAAUGACUGUUUCUGACUUUUCUCUCCUGAUUAAAUUGCGUGUUUGCUGUUCAGUUCAAGUACAUCACACACUUCUUCACAAACUGGUGAUGAACGUCUUGCUUUCAGUUACUUCGCUCUUCACAGCAGAUCUCAUAUUUAUGUUGCUGAAGCCUUCUCCGCCUCCAACACAUGAAGGGUAUACAUAAAUAUGUCUCAGAAGAAGUAGAAAAAAAUGAUCACAGUAAGAUAUCUCUGUACUGUUAAAUAUAGAUAAACUGGCCAUGUGUGGGUGAAUUCAAC